CACGCUCCGGCCCCCCCACCCGGCCCGGGCGGGAGUUUGCACCUCUCCCUGCCCGGGUACUCGGGCCGCCGCUGCAAAGCCAACUUUGGGAAAAGUUUUAGGGGGGAGACUUUGGCUUUGAAGUGCCCAGCUCUGCGCUUUCCGACUUCGGGGGCCUUUCCAGAAAAUGUUGCAAAAAAGCUAAGCCGGUGGGCAGAGGAGAACGCCUGUAGCCGGCGAGUGAAGACGAACCAUCGGCUGCCGUGUUCUUUUUCCUCUUGGAGGUUGGAGUCCCCUGGGCGCCCCCACACGGCUAGACGCCUCGGCGGGUUCGCGACGCAGCCCCCCGGCAGUGGAUGCUCGCUCCGGCUCGGGAUCCGCCCAGGUAGCGGCCUCGGACCCUGGUCCCGCGCCCAGGCCCUUCCCAACCCACCAACGACGGAGCCGGGGU
rnacentral:other from 1 species